CCUACGGGAGGCAGCAGUGAGGAAUAUUGGUCAAUGGCCGAGAGGCUGAACCAGCCAAGUCGCGUGAGGGAAGAAUGUCCUAUGGAUUGUAAACCUCUUUUGUCAGGGAGCAAAGUCACCCACGUGUGGGUGUUGGAGAGUACCUGAAGAAAAAGCAUCGGCUAACUCCGUGCCAUCAGCCGCGGUAAUACGGAGGAUGCGAGCGUUAUCCGGAUUUAUUGGGGUUAAAGGGUGCGUAGGCGGGUUAUCAAGUCAGCGGUAAAAUCGUGGAGCUCAACUCCAUCCAGCCGUUGAAACUGAUUAUCUUGAGUGGGCGAGAAGUAGGCGGAAUGCGUGGUGUAGCGGUGAAAGGCAUAGAUAUCACGCAGAACUCCGAUUGCGAAGGCAGCAUACCGGCGCCCGACUGACGCUGAAGCACGAAAGCGUGGGUAUCGAACAGGAUUAGAUACCCUUGUAGUC
rnacentral:rRNA from 1 species